GUCAAGUGAGUGGCUCAGCAAUGAUGUAUGACACUACAAAAACUGCAUUACAUCAGAGAGCUCUCAUUGCACCUGUAAAUGUACACUUGCCAGAAAAUAACCCUGGACAAGAAUAUCCUACUUCUAAUGAACAGACUUCAGCUCUUCUGCUCUAGUAGCCUGCAAUGCACUGCACUGCGCUGCACUGAGCUCCAUUUUGUAAUUGGCAGGUUGUGUUUUCCUUCUCGAAAGAUCGCAGACUACUCAUUUUCUCCGGGGUUCAUGGAGGUGGCAAGUAUUUAUCAGUCUUUUUCAGGAUGGACUCCCAAGGCAUGGCUGCAAUGGUUGUUUGAAAUAAGAAACAGAUACCCUUGGUGUCAUGCAUCUCUGAUCACUGGGAAUCGGAGCUUGAAGGAAGGUGGAAGAAAACUCCUACAGAGACUGUAUAUUUGUGGUCACCUGAUGGCAAUGCAUGCAAAGACCCUGUGCAGCAGCAGUGCCUCUCCCAGGAAAUACCAGGAGGGAAACUAG
rnacentral:lncRNA from 1 species